UACGUAGGGUGCAAGCGUUGUCCGGAAUUAUUGGGCGUAAAGAGCUUGUAGGCGGUUUGUCGCGUCUGCUGUGAAAUUUCGGGGCUCAACCCCGAACUUGCAGUGGGUACGGGCAGACUAGAGUGUGGUAGGGGAGACUGGAAUUCCUGGUGUAGCGGUGAAAUGCGUAGAUAUCUGGAGGAACACCGGUGGCGAAGGCGGCAUCCUGGACCGAUAUUGACGCUGAUGCGCGAAAGCCAGGGGAGCAAACGGG
rnacentral:rRNA from 1 species